CAGGUGGGCAUGCUUCUUCGCAUAUGCAAAAUGUCUGUACAGUGGUACCUUGGUUAAAACAUAAUACCCUUUGACCCAUGACUAUUAAUACCCCUUUUUUGGAAAAAGAGUUACUCCUCUUACUUUAUGGAUCCAUUGCAUAUAGAAGCUUCGCUCUAUGGAAGAGCUGGCAGUGGACAAUGUUGUGAGCUAGAAAACCAGUGAACGGUCUGUUUAAUGCCUGAUGUUGGCCCCUCCAUGCAACUAUGGUUCACCCAGAUGGGGGAACUCUGUUUUACAGCAGAGCUUCACCAUGUGGAUACAGACAGAUUGACUGUUUACACAUCGAUCUGGUCACACAGGCUCCUCAGGACUAACACUGAUUACUUUCAAAGAUUCCUGUGAAUCCCAUUUACCUGAAUGGUUAACAGGUCCCAGAAACACUUCCACUUUCCUUAGCCCAGGACGAUGAAAUCCCCUUUACCGUAACCAUUCAACCUAUUUUAGGUUAUAAUUUUAUUACCUGAUUAUGUCUUAAAUGCACCUUUAUGAUAUGACAUACUAAGACUGGAC